rnacentral:rRNA from 1 species
GAUGAACGCUAGCUACAGGCUUAACACAUGCAAGUCGAGGGGCAGCAUGGUCUUAGCUUGCUAAGGCCGAUGGCGACCGGCGCACGGGUGAGUAACACGUAUCCAACCUGCCGUCUACUCUUGGACAGCCUUCUGAAAGGAAGAUUAAUACAAGAUUGCAUCAUGAGUCCGCAUGUUCACAUGAUUCAAGGUAUUCCGGUAGACGAUGGGGAUGCGUUCCAUUAGAUAGUAGGCGGGGUAACGGCCCACCUAGUCGUCGAUGGAUAGGGGUUCUGAGAGGAAGGUCCCCCACAGUGGAACUGAGACACGGUCCAAACUCCUACGGGAGGCAGCAGUGAGGAAUAUUGGUCAAGGGGCGCAGGCCUGAACCAGCCAAGUAGCGUGAAGGAAGACUGCGCUAGGGGUUGUAAACUUCUGUUAGAAAGGAAUAAAGUCGGGUAUGGAUACCCGUUUGCAUGUACUUGAUGAAUAAGGAUCGGCUAACUCCGUG